rnacentral:lncRNA from 12 species
AUGUUCAGCCAAGAAGGCCUCCGGGCUGCGCAGAUCCCUGCCCCCAGCACGGCCCGAGCCGCCGGCCCCACCCGUGCCUUCGGUUUCGAUUCCCGUGCGGCGCGGCCGAGAGGCGGUGACGGGUGCUCCCGCCCCGCUCCCCCACAGUCCCGCUGGCGGCCCCGUCCCGGGCGGAGGGGCAGCAUGUGCGAUCCGGCCGUCUGCAGUUUCCUCACCCAGACCCUGUGCGCCCAUGGCGGGCGGCUGGGGCUGCGGGAGCUGCAGGAAAAUAUCGGGCUGUCGGCGCUGCAGCUGGAGGACACGCUGUCGGCGGCGGGCCCCCGGGGGGGGGGGGGGGGGGGGGGGGGGGGGGGGGGGGGGGGGGGGGGGGGGGGGGGGGGGGGGGGGGGGGGGGGGGGGGGGGGGGGGGGGGCGGGCCCCCGACGGUUCCUGAAGGUGGGGAGCGGCCCGGUGGUCCUGGCCGUGACGGACGUGCGGGUCUGUGUCCGCAAAGCCUGCGACGGCUGCGAGCGGCUGCACCUCUGCAAGCUGCACCUCAUGGGCAGGUGCCACCAGGGGCCCAGCUCUUGUAAGUACUCGCAUGACAUCAUGAAUGCAGAGAACAAAAAAGUUCUAAAAAAACAUGAUUUGUCUGGCCUCAGUGAGAAUGAACUGCAAGUCCUGCUUCUCCAAAAUGAUCCAUUCUUCCUCCCUGAUACCUGCCAGUUUUACAACACAAAAGGUGGUUGCUGUAGGCAGCAAAGCAACUGCAACAAGCUUCAUGUUUGUCGACACUUUCUCAAGGGGAAAUGUAAAUUUCCUCAAUGCAUAAUGAACCAUAACCUCUUGGAUGACCAUGCAAUGAGAGUGUUGGAAACUGGAGGCAUUGAUGGGAAGAUAGCUUCAAACUUCCAGGCUAUAUAUGAUUUCAAGCAUGUCGAAUUCAACAAGGAACAGAAGAAGGGGUAUGUACACAACUACAGACGAAUAAAUGAUUAUUGGAAAAUACCAGCAAAUCAAAGGAAUAAAGAAGUGAAGACAACUACAGUGCAGUGUAUGCUGGAUGUGCCGCCUUCAAAAGGUCCCAGUAGCACCGUGCCUGCUCAGAGCCAAGACCAGUUGCCAACAGGAGCGGGAGAUAAAGGUCCCAGUAGCACCGUGCCUGCUCAGAGCCAAGACCAGUUGCCAACAGGAGCGGGAGAUAAAGGUAAAGGUACGGAUUGUUUCUUACCCUCCAAUCAUGAGACAGUUUAAUGUUUCAUAUCAAAUUACACAUGUGAUAGACAUUAAUUCUUCACAUAGAUGGGGAUAAUGCCAGCUAGCUGUGCUUCUGGCCCAGCAGUGCGGUUCAUUUCAUGUUCUCAUGCAGGUCCCAGUAGCACCGUACCUGCUCAGAGCCAAGACCAGUUGCCAACAGGAGUGGGAGAUAAAGGUAAAGGUAUGGAUUGUUUCUUACCCUCCAGUCUUGAGAUGAGCUUAUCUAAAGAGAGUUGAUGUCACACAGGUGUUGUGAUGUCUCGGUUUGAAAGACAGCUGUCUACUAGGGAAGGCAGGACCCUCCCUUGGAUUGGAAACUAAUUACGAUUUUGAAAUCAAG